UAGCGCAAGGAAAUGCCGCAAAGAUUCCAUAUCCACACUGCGGGAGUGGGGCAAUGGCGAUGGCCGCCGCGGCUUCCUGCGCCUUCAAGCUUCCCUGUUCUUCGUCUAGAGAGCUCUCCUCAGGAUUCUUGCAGCGCGACACAUUGCAGCUCCAGCGGCGGCCAAAACCGAGGAGAAUCGCGGCCGUGUGUGUGAGAAAUGUGGCAGUACAAACAGCGGCCGAUCAGGCCAAGAAGGCGGCAUUUUCGAAAGAGAGCCAGCGGCCAGUGUUCCCCUUCACAGCCAUCGUGGGGCAGGAGGAGAUGAAGCUGUGCCUCAUCCUCAACGUCAUCGACCCCAAGAUUGGCGGCGUCAUGAUCAUGGGCGACCGGGGCACUGGUAAAUCCACCACCGUGCGCUCGCUCGUGGACCUCCUGCCCGAGAUCACGGUCGUGGCCGGCGACCCUUUCAACUCGGACCCCGACGACCCCGAGCUCAUGUCCGAGGAGGUCCGGCUCAAAGUUCAGCAAGACCAGCCCCUCCCAUCCGCGCUCGUCAAGAUCAACAUGGUGGAUCUCCCGCUCGGCGCCACCGAAGACCGCGUGUGCGGCACGAUCGACAUCGAGAAGGCGCUGACAGAGGGCGUGAAAGCCUUCGAGCCGGGGCUGCUGGCCAAGGCCAACCGCGGCAUCCUCUACGUGGACGAGGUGAACCUCCUGGACGACCACCUGGUGGACGUGCUCCUCGACUCGGCAGCGUCCGGGUGGAACACCGUGGAGCGCGAGGGCAUCUCGAUCUCCCACCCGGCGCGCUUCAUCCUCAUCGGCUCGGGUAAUCCGGAGGAAGGCGAGCUCCGGCCCCAGUUGCUGGAUCGAUUCGGCAUGCACGCGCAGGUCACCACCGUCAAGGACGCGGAGCUCCGGGUGAAGAUCGUGGAGGAGCGCGGGGCCUUCGACCAGGACCCCGGCGAGUUCCGGGAGAAGUACCUCGGCCCCCAGUCGGAGCUCCAGCAACAGAUCACCGAGGCCCGGGUCCGGCUGCCCGGCGUGAAGAUCGAGCACGAGCUCCGAGUGAAGAUCUCGCGGGUGUGCGCGGAGCUGGACGUGGAUGGGCUGCGCGGGGAUAUCGUGCUCGAUGGUCACGAACAGGGCCGCCAAGGCGCUGGCGGCGCUCCAGGGCCGCGACGAGGUGUCGCCCAAGGACAUCCUCACCGUGAUCCCGAAUUGCCUCCGCCACCGGCUGAGGAAGGAUCCGCUCGAGUCGAUCGAUUCGGGGCUGCUGGUGGUGGAGAAGUUUAGCGAGGUUUUUGGCUAUGCCGUGUAAGUAGUAGCAAGUUUUUCAAAUUUAAAUUUUAGAAUAUACCUGUGGGUGGGGGAUAUUCUUCCCCGUA